UUUGCCCCGGGGCAUCUGAACUCUGUUUAUACGUUAGGUAAUACACCAGACGAGGGCAAACGACCUAUACUUGGUUUACAGUGGUCAGUGAUAAUGUCCGCGUGUGACACAUGUAAUUUUUGAUACAUUUCCCUGGAAACGAAGAUAGGAUUGGUUGAUAAACAUUACCUUUUCCAGCUGGCUGUAAAACUCCCAUUUUACUCCUCGAAAUCCCAUUACUGUUCAUCAAGGAUAUCCUGUAUGAUAUGGCGAUAGGUAAAAUCGCCGGUGUGAUGUAUGCACAGUCGAUGUCGCCGGAGAGGUGCAUGGCGUUACCUUGGUGUAUGCUAAUUACGUUGUGUUUGAAGCGUUACUUUUUAACAAUCCAGCAGGCCUGUUGUUAUUACAGUGAGAAAACAUUAAAUGGAUGUCAUCUCCUUUCGAGGCCACACAUACGGACCGAGCACUUCGUGACGAAUAUAUAUGGUCACACACCACUGAAAACUGGCACAUCUCUAUCACACGCUGGUAUUAAAAGGGCGGGGCUUGAACCCGACUUCCCUUUAUCAACCAACACCUUCGAUGCUUAGUUACCUACGUGUUGUGAACCAAUGCAAACAGCUGUAUCUCAUUUUAAAAUGAACCAUUUUGUUGAUUCGAUAUAUAUCUUUGAAUAUUUUAUGGAAACUCACACGUGAAAAAUAGUGCAAAAUUUGUUUAUAAUGCUCAUAUUUAACAUUUAGAUAUAAUACAGGCGUCUUUGCAUUUUGCAAAAGUCAUCUAUAAUCGGUCUGUUCAUCCAGAUGACAGUACCUUGUAUCAAUAAUCUGUUCACGCGUGUAACACGGUGAUGAUGCUUUGGAAAAAAAUGCCGACCAAGGGAGCCGCGACUCACCGAGACCUGUACGGACAGGACAUUUACGUUCGCAAGGUAUUCAGCAUAGGAGUAAAUGAAAAUGGUUCAUUUACUAUUUAAUAUAUGAUAAAAUGGAGAAUAGCAAUUUCCCUUUUUAUUGAAUGAUAAAGUGAGUUUGAC